AAAAGAAAAUUGAAUUUAUUAAGUGAAAUUUUAUAUUUAAAAUAUUUUUAUAAAAAAUAAUUGAAGCUAAAAAAUUUUUUAAAAAAACUAGGAUUAGAUACCCUAUUAUUUAAAAUCUAAUUAUAAAUAUUAAAGUAGUAAUAGUUAUGUUCUUGACACUUAAAAAAUUUGGCGGUAUUUUAGUCUAUCCAGAGGAACCUGUUUGGUAAUCGAUAAUCCACGAUGGACCUUACUUAAAUUUGUAAUCAGUUUAUAUACCGCCGUUAUCAGAAUAUUUUAUAAGAAUAAUAAUAUUCAAUAAUUUUAAUAAAAAUUUAUAUCAGAUCAAGGUGUAGCUUAUAUUUAAGUAAUAAUGGGUUACAAUAAAAUUAUUUAUACGGAUAAAAUUAUGAAAAAGUUUUGGAAGGUGGCUUUGGUAGUAAAAUUAUUAAGAUAAAUAAUUGGAUUUUAGCUCUAAAAUAUGUACACAUCGCCCGUCGCUCUUAUUAUUAAGGUAAGAUAAGUCGUAACAUAGUAGAUGUGCUGGAAAGUGUAUCUAGAUUGACAGUACUGCCAGGAGUCUCUAGAAUG
rnacentral:rRNA from 1 species